GCCAAAGUAGCUUAGCUGGGAGAGCAUUAGACUAGAAAACUAAAGGUCCCUGGUUCAACCCCAGGCUUUGGCA